UACGUAGGGGGCUAGCGUUGUCCGGAAUCAUUGGGCGUAAAGAGCGUGUAGGCGGUCCGGUAAGUCAGCUGUGAAAGUCAAGGGCUCAACCCUUGAAUGCCGGUUGAUACUGUCGGGCUAGAGUCCGGAAGAGGCGAGUGGAAUUCCCGGUGUAGCGGUGAAAAUGCGCAGAUAUCGGGAGGAACACCAAUGGCGAAGGCAGCUCGCUGGGACGGUACUGACGCUGAGACGCGAAAGCGUGGGGAGCAAACAGG
rnacentral:rRNA from 1 species